GAGGGCUGUCAAAAAAGCCCCAGAGGUUAUAUAUAUAAUGGUGGUAGGACCUCUUGUGAGUCCGCGCGGGUGGGUACCACCACCCUGCCUAUUUCUGCCGUGAAGCAGUAAUGCGUUUCGGUUUGAAAGGCGGGGCAGCCGUUGUAAUUAUACUGAGAGCUUAGAACUUAUAUCUCAAUGUGGGUGGCGCAUUUACGUCGUAGAUGUCUAUGGGCUCCAGUAACUACUUAACACCAGUUAGGCUGUGAGCUCGUCCACCCAUAUAAGCAAUUAAAAAAAACAAGCGUAAUCAAGCGAGUAAUUUUUUUUUAUUGCCCGUGCAGGCAGGCGAGCAUGACGACCUGAUGGUGCGUGGUUACCGUCGCCCAUGGACUUCAGCAAUGCCAGGUGCAGAGCCAAGCCUACCGUUAAGUACUCUCCACAAGCCUCGUUUGAAGAAGGAUAUGUCAUAGCGCUCGGGAAACACCGUGGAGGGGAGCUCAUUCCAAAGCUGAAUGAUACGUGGCAAAAAAGACCUCUGGAAACGCACUGUGGAUGAACGCAGUGGCUUCAGGUAGUAUGGAUAAACCCUUCUCAAGUGGCGGGCGGUGCGAUGGUAAAAACGCCAGAGUUCGCCAUUUCGAGAAAGGGGCACGACACGAGAACCAUCUCAUCGUGGCCGCAGCGAUAGAGGCACGAUCGGCCCAAGCUUCGAUCAACAAUAGGAACUAGAUUUCGGGUUAGCGCAAAAAUCCGUCUCGUUAAAUAACAGCUCACUUGAAAUGAGCUCUUAUUUUGUUUAGUUCACUCCAGACAGAGCCAAUGUCAACCCGUCUCACAAUGCCGCAGUGUAUAUUCAAAAGUUGCAAAAAUUGUCCGAAAUAGCAAUUUAAUGGCCGGAGUACCUUACUUUCGCUUUCCUAGCAAUCACGUGUGCGGAAUGGAUCUCGAUUGUCGCCAGAGAAAGAAGAGAUUACUUUUAUAACCAAGCUAAGAACUCGACUCAUUGACACUGGACAUCUUUGCCUUCCGUGCUCACGGCUACUGAAACGUGGCCGAAGCAUUGUAAUAAAAAUAUCGCGCUCAAAACCGUUUAAACGUUUUUUUAUUAUGUGUACUAGUCGCGAAAACAUAAAAAUAUACUAUAAAAAUAUGUAUUACACAAAACGUAACGCUCAUAAAAUAAUAAGUAAUGUAUAGAUACUAAAAAACAUAAAUUCUCAAAACAUAAAAAGUAAACAACUAAA